rnacentral:rRNA from 1 species
UACGGAGGAUGCAAGCGUUAUCCGGAAUGAUUGGGCGUAAAGCGUCCGCAGGUGGCUGUGUAAGUCUGCUGUUAAAGAGUGAGGCUCAACCUCAUAAAGGCAGUGGAAACUACAUGGCUAGAGUGCGUUCGGGGCAGAGGGAAUUCCUGGUGUAGCGGUGAAAUGCGUAGAGAUCAGGAAGAACACCGGUGGCGAAAGCGCUCUGCUAGGCCGCAACUGACACUGAGGGACGAAAGCGUGGGGAUCAAACAGG